UAAGACAUAUAGUUUGGUCCUCAAUUUGGCC
rnacentral:piRNA from 1 species